GCAAUAGUAUGGUUAGAUGAUUGGGAAAAUAAUUUAGAAAAUAAAUUGAUUGAGACAAAAGAUUUUUUAACAGACAACAUGUGAUACUUAAAGAUAACAUUAAAGUCCACUUUAGAUUUGUAACUAUAUUUUAGACAAAUGUAAUUUUGAUUAUGUCUUAACUUAACGGCUAAAGUUGAUCAAGACAGUUUGGAGGUAAUAAUAAUAUAAGAUGUAUUUAAUAUUAAACAAACUAUAAACUAAUAUGUAUACAAAUUGUUAUUGCUAUUUUCUAAAAAUGAAUUGUUUAUUUUUGAGAGAAGUUUUUUGGAAUUCUUAGACAAGUAUCGGCACCUAAUGACCGCUCUAUUGUACCUACUAUUUUACAGCUGUUUUGUAUGCUCUCGGUAUAUUCAGCAAUCAAACCUCCAAAGUCUGGAAAUUGCAGUAUACUUGAAGGUAUGUCACUAAUAAUUGAUAUAAUAUCAAUGCAAGAUUUAAAAUAUAUUACUAGCGAUCCAGAAAAUAUUUCUCAGAGAACUAAAAAUUGAAGAAUUAAAAAAAAAAUUGAUGUAAUUAUUGAAGAUGGAUGUUGGGACUCGGAUGAUGUUUUGUUAGACCAUGAUUAUGCAGAUUCAACAGUAUUUGAUUGUGUAGUCUAUUUUUUUGGCCGAAUACAUAGGAAAGCGUUUAGUUAACAAAACUAUAUGCUUAAUUUGCAUUGAAGACUUAAAGAAAUUAAAUACGUCAGUAGGUCAAGAUACUGCUUUAGUUCAAGCAAAAAGUAAAGGAUAUCUUACACAUCCCGAUAACAAUUUGUUUAUAAUUCUAAGAUAUCUAAAACUUGUUUUUAAAAACAUGCUAACUCAAAUCAUGUUCUUGAACUCACUUAUAAUGAGUUCUUUAAUAAUAAGUUUGAGCUUCAAUUUUAUUGUUCUAUACAUAAAGUUGAGAUUUUAACUAACAUUUUUUCGUAUUACAUUACAAAGAGAAUGAAACAGUACACUUAUCUAGAAAAUCAAAAAAAUUGUCUAAAUUAGUUAAAUGUUAAAAUUCUUGUUUAAACCUAGAGUUUAUGUUUAUACAGUUUUUUUAAUCAUCUUUAUAUUACUUAUGUUUCUAAUCCAAUAUUACUAUGUUAUUGUUCACUUAUUUUUUGUUAAUUGGCAUAUAAAGAUAUAAUAAAUACUUAUAACUUUUAAGCGUAUAGUUAAGUG